rnacentral:rRNA from 1 species
CAGCAGCCGCGGGAAAACGAAGGGUGCAAGCGUUAAUCGGAAUUACUGGGCGUAAAGCGCACGCAGGCGGUUUGUUAAGUCAGAUGUGAAAUCCCCGAGCUUAACUUGGGAACUGCAUUUAAAACUGGCAAGCUAGAGUCUUGUAGAGGGGGGUAGAAUUCCAGGUGUAGCGGUGAAAUGCGUAGAGCUCUAGAGGAAUACCGGUGGCGAAGGCGGCCCCCUGGACAAAGACUGACGCUCAGGUGCGAAAGCGUGGGGAGCAAACAGGAUUAGAUACCCGGGUAGUCCCUGUCUCUUAUAU